AGUGAACGCUGGCGGUAGGCCUAACACAUGCAAGUCGAACGGCAGCACAGUAAGAGCUUGCUCUUACGGGUGGCGAGUGGCGGACGGGUGAGGAAUACAUCGGAAUCUACUUUUUCGUGGGGGAUAACGUAGGGAAACUUACGCUAAUACCGCAUACGACCUACGGGUGAAAGCAGGGGACCUUCGGACCUUGCGCGAUUGAAUGAGCCGAUGUCGGAUUAGCUAGUUGGCGGGGUAAAGGCCCACCAAGGCGACGAUCCGUAGCUGGUCUGAGAGGAUGGUCAGCCACACUGGAACUGAGACACGGUCCAGACUCCUACGGGAGGCAGCAGUGGGGAAUAUUGGACAAUGGGCGCAAGCCUGAUCCAGCCAUACCGCGUGGGUGAAGAAGGCCUUCGGGUUGUAAAGCCCUUUUGUUGGGAAAGAAAAGCAGCAGGUUAAUACCCCGCUGUUCUGACGGUACCCAAAGAAUAAGCACCGGCUAACUUCGUG
rnacentral:rRNA from 1 species